GGCAUGAUGGGGGCUGUCCCCUGGCCUGAUUGUCUGGCUUGGCCUCCACACUGCUGUCAUCCACCGUGAGAAGAGCCAGCCUGGCAGCCGCAGGUCCCAGGACAGAGACAAUGGGGCGGACCUGAGUGCACAGGGGCCUGGAGCGAGGGCCGGGCUCCCCUGCAGACCUGGGAGAAAGGAAGCCUGGUCUGUUGUAAUCACAGUUUGUAGGUUACCUGUCACAAAGCGUCGUCAUAGUGGAAGCCUGAGCAGUACACAGCCUUGUCUGACCCUGAGCAGAGAAUGUGACCUUUGUGAGCCUGAGUUUCUGCAUUCAGAAAGGGAAGAUAACACGGCCCUGCCUGUGAUUCCACAUAAGCCCGGCUCCCAGCCGCAGCUCGGUGCCCCCGGGUUCUCCUGAGAGGGAGAGUUACCUGCGAUUCUGCAGGAGCCUGGUGAGAGCCACCCGCUCCCUCCAGCUGCCAGCCCAGGGUGGAGCUCACAAAGGACCCUUCCAUGCACGCCGCCGCUCUAUCCCAGCAGGUCCCUGGAGGCAGUCACCACUGCAGACGAGGACACCGAGGCACCGAGGGUGAUGGGAUCCCCAGGGCCGCAUGGCUGGUGGGUGGCAGCAGUGGGUCCCACACACCGGUGUCCCCUGUCCCGAGCCUGUGCGCUGUGUCCCGUUCCAGUUUCCCUCCGACUUUGGGAUUCCGUGUUUUUCUCUCGGCUGCAAUGGAUGAAGAUGUGUGUGGGGCCUGACAGGUGGACGCAGCCCCCAGAGUGUGUCCCCAGGUGAGAUUCUCAAAGGGCUGGGGGCUAGAUUGAGGCGUUGCCCCGGGGCCUCCUGCUGGGCAGCUGAAGGCUGGCUUGGCUGGCAGACACCGUCUUCGGGAAGGGCGGGGACUGUGUCCCAGCCAGCGAGUGGGCGUUGGCAUCCAGUCAGCGGCGACAGGGUUUGCAGAGGCCGGAAACGGGCAGACGGUGUUCUAGGCAGUGCUGCCGUCUCUGUGCCGUGAUACCCCCGAUCUCCUCCCAUGGCUGCCGGCUCUCUCCACCCCCACAGACCAGUUGAGGGACCCUGGGGCAGCUAAGUCAGAGGCCUGCCCGGCUGGUGAUAAGCUGAAUGGGUGGGGCGUUUCGGACAGCAUCCAGCAUGCAUGAGUGUGUGUCUCCGCCUUGUGCGAGAGCAGCUUCCGCCGGUACCUUCCUUCACUUGCCAGCCCUUUAGUGUCCACAUGUGGUGUGCUGGGCGCGGCGCUGGGAACAGACCUGGCCCUGUCCUCUUGGAGAUCCGUGUGUGGUGGGAAACAGAAAAUCAACAGAAACCCUGGCUGUGGUUGUAGGUGGGGAAUCCGGGCCCCUGUGGCUUGGAGCAGUGGGCACCAGACAUGUCGGGUCUUGCUGGAGGCUGGCUCGUGAGGAGGAGUCUGACUACUGCCCUCUGCACCAAGGCUCUGGAAUUUGGCCGUGCGUCAGUUGCUCCCACGCAUAGGAGAGGCUACUCUGGGCCAGGGCUGGGCGCUCUGGGCUUCCCCUAAGGAACGACCAGGGCCCUGAAGCCAAUGCUCCUUCCUUGGAUAAUUGGAGACUUUGGCCGCAAGGCCAGGGUGCCCAGCCACCAUGUGGGAGGGAGAGCCCUGCCUGGCAGACGCUCCUGGCACAAGGCAGAGGAGAGGGCGCCUGUCCACCGGUCAGCUGCUGGGGGUGUGCAGGGGGAACCGUGCAGCUCCUGAGUGCCUCUGUCCAGACACCAGGCAGGAAAUGAGCUCGUCCCGGAGCCCCUGAGAGUCCCGGGGAUGGGGGUCCUUACCGGAGGGGAUCUUGGGCUGUAUCCAUGCUCUGCCUCCUUUGGAAGUGAUGUUUCAUUCCAACACAGCCGCCGGCACCUGUCACACCUCGUCUACAGCAGCUUCGGGUCUCGCUGGGGUCUGGACAUUCCCCUAAAUUCGUGUGUUGAAACUUCAUCACCAAUGAGAUGCUAUUAAGAGGUGAGGUGUUUAGGAGGCCCUGCCCUCAAAGGUGGGCUUAACCCUUGAGAAGGGCUGGGAAGCCUGGCUGCCCCUUCUGCCCUUAGGUCCCUCCUGCCCUGUGAGAUGCCCGUUCGCCCCCUCAGGAGGAUGAAGUGGCCUGGCACUGUCUUGCAUGCAGAGAGGAGCCCUCACCAGACACCCAUCCUACUGGCACCUUGAUCUUGCCCUCCAGCCUCCGAAACAGAGAGAAACACAUUUCUGUUGCUGAAGGGCCUAGUCUUCAGGAUUUUGUUACAGCAGCGGAAAGGACUAACACAAGCCUUGAAUAAACAUGACAAAGAUUGGCCUGGAAAACAGAAAGUGAUUCCUCCCUAGCCCUCUACAGAAAACACGUGUCCAGCCCUGCGUCUUUGGGACACAGCUGUUGGGGUGAGCAGCUUCAGAUGUGGGGAGAAGGACGGCAGGAGCGAAGGCAGUGGAGGAAGGAAGGCGGCCAGCCCUGGCAGGGUGCUGGGGAGCCACUGAUGGUGGGAAGGCAAGAGAGGUGUCCUGUGACUUGGGGCUUCUCUCCCAUGUGCAGAGGAGCCCCUGGCCCCCACCCGUGCCCCUGGUUCUUGAGUCACCAACCUGGGCUAUGUGGUCCCUUGGGUGAUCCCAGGCGGAGGGUUCUGGUUGGGCUGGGGUCCCCACUGGUGGCACCCUGACUUGUGCGCUGCCUUGCCCUACCCUUCGUGGGGCCCUGAAGCUUAUGAGAGGUGGGGGACCCAGUGCCCAGAGAAGAGAUGUUCAGGGUACCUCAGGGGGCGGGUGGCCCUCGUCCAUCCUGUGAGCAUCCCUGAUGUCUCACGAACACUGAAGACUUGGAGACCAGAUGGCCACAGAUGCAGGCAGGGCAGGGAAGUUGCUCCUAAAUCCUGAAUAAUUGUGUGGAAAUAAAGACCUCAGAUUGAGAGAUGAA